UAGAGUUUGAUCUGGCUCAGGACGAACGCUGGCGGCGUGCCUAAUACAUGCAAGUCGAGCGGACAGAUGGGAGCUUGCUCCCUGAUGUUAGCGGCGGACGGGUGAGUAACACGUGGGUAACCUGCCUGUAAGACUGGGAUAACUCCGGGAAACCGGGGCUAAUACCGGAUGGUUGUUUGAACCGCAUGGUUCAAACAUAAAAGGUGGCUUCGGCUACCACUUACAGAUGGACCCGCGGCGCAUUAGCUAGUUGGUGAGGUAACGGCUCACCAAGGCAACGAUGCGUAGCCGACCUGAGAGGGUGAUCGGCCACACUGGGACUGAGACACGGCCCAGACUCCUACGGGAGGCAGCAGUAGGGAAUCUUCCGCAAUGGACGAAAGUCUGACGGAGCAACGCCGCGUGAGUGAUGAAGGUUUUCGGAUCGUAAAGCUCUGUUGUUAGGGAAGAACAAGUACCGUUCGAAUAGGGCGGUACCUUGACGGUACCUAACCAGAAAGCCACGGCUAACUACGUGCCAGCAGCCGCGGUAAUACGUAGGUGGCAAGCGUUGUCCGGAAUUAUUGGGCGUAAAGGGCUCGCAGGCGGUUUCUUAAGUCUGAUGUGAAAGCCCCCGGCUCAACCGGGGAGGGUCAUUGGAAACUGGGGAACUUGAGUGCAGAAGAGGAGAGUGGAAUUCCACGUGUAGCGGUGAAAUGCGUAGAGAUGUGGAGGAACACCAGUGGCGAAGGCGACUCUCUGGUCUGUAACUGACGCUGAGGAGCGAAAGCGUGGGGAGCGAACAGGAUUAGAUACCCUGGUAGUCCACGCCGUAAACGAUGAGUGCUAAGUGUUAGGGGGUUUCCGCCCCUUAGUGCUGUA
rnacentral:rRNA from 1 species